rnacentral:ncRNA from 2 species
AGAUAUGUUCGUAGAGCCACGAACAGGAUAAUCAAAAAAAAGCUCAUUGAGA